rnacentral:rRNA from 1 species
UACGAAGGGGGCUAGCGUUGUCGUCGAAAUCACUGGGCGUAAAGCGCACGUAGGCGGAUCUUAAGUCAGGGGUGAAAUCCCGGGGCUCAACCCCGGAACUGCCCUUGAAACUGCAGUGCUAGAAUCUUGGAGAGGUCAGUGGAAUUCCGAGUGUAGAGGUGAAAUUCGUAGAUAUUCGGAAGAACACCCAGUGGCGAAGGCGACUGACUGGACAAGUAUUGACGCUGAGGUGCGAAAGCGUGGGGAGCAAACAGG